CCUACGGGAGGCAGCAGUGGGGAAUAUUGGGCAAUGGGCGCAAGCCUGAUCCAGCAAUGCCGCGUGAAGGAAGAAGGCUUUCGGGUUGUAAACUUCUUUGACAGGGGAAGAGCAGAAGACGGUACCCUGAAAACAAGCCACGGCUAACUACGUGCCAGCAGCCGCGGUAAUACGUAGGUGGCAAGCGUUGUCCGGAUUUACUGAGUGUAAAGGGCGUGUAGCCGGGAAGGCAAGUCAGAUGUGAAAUCUGGAGGCUCAACCUCCAAAUUGCAUUUGAAACUGUUUUUCUUGAGUACUGGAGAGGCAGACGGAAUUCCUUGUGUAGCGGUGAAAUGCGUAGAUAUAAGGAGGAACACCAGUGGCGAAGGCGGUCUGCUGGACAGCAACUGACGGUGAGGCGCGAAAGCGUGGGGAGCAAACAGGAUUAGAUACCCCAGUAGUC
rnacentral:rRNA from 1 species